GAGAAACACCAGAAAAAGAAGCACUCGGGAGAGGCAAAGGGAAGCAGCCCCAUUAAUUGGACUAAAUCAAUGCCCGCCAAGCAACGGCCGAGGGGAAGGAGGCAAAGAUUUUGCUGCCGAGGGCAGUUUCCAAACAAACUCCUCCCGCGCCUGUGGCUCCCGCCCGGACCUUUCAAAGCGCCGCUCGUUCCCACAGGAGGCUGUGGAUGUAAAGAGUUCUCCCGUUCCGAUAAAUCCAGAAAAUUGGCAUUUCCCAAAAUAGUUGCCUUUGAGUCUAUUUUCAGAUAAUUACAGCCCUCGAGAAUUAGAAGCAUUAAGCGCACGUCGAGGCUUCUGCCACCUCCAGGGAUUCCAAGAAGCCAAAGAGCAGGAACGCUUGGCAAACUUUUCAGUAGGAAAGUUGAGAGCGGAGGAAGGCUUAAAGGAGCGGGACAGCACAGCUGAGUUCCCAGAACCACUGAACACCAUACUCCACCCCCAUCCCACGCCAGAGCAGCCAAUCAACACCAGAUGCCUCAUCACCAGCACAAGUCAAUACAGCUUGUGUGUGCACUUUAUUAAGUGCUUCUCUUGUAUUUUGGAGGAGCUGAAAUUCCAGGGUGCCUGCGGUUUUCUAGCAUGUCCUCUUCCCUCCACUUAGCUUUGUUGCUGCUACAGAUGCUAUAAAAAUAAUGUCUUCAAUAAUAUAUGGCCUCUCAGAUAGUCAGAACUCUCCUGGUGAAAUAUAGAUGAGAACACUCCUUCCAACCAGUGGCUAUGAUUCAUGUAUUAUUGCCUAGCCUGCAAAGGAUGCUGGGAAAUCUGGUCUAUUUUUUUUUUUUUUGUACCUGUUGUUUUGGUCCUCCUAGAUUGCAUCUGUAAUCCCAUCCCCCCACCCCCGCUCUUUGUAUAAAGAGCUACCUUCAUUGGACAGGAAUCUGGACUUCGCUGUUGUCCACACUGUAGCAACAACCCUGGGGAAAGGAGUGCAAUAAUAAUUAAAAAGUGUGCAAUUGUUGCAUUUCCAUCCAGGCUCAUUAGCUGAGCUGCAUGUCCUGGGUCAGCCCAAAGAUUAACGUAUCCGUCGGUCAGCUUUUGUCGCUGACCUUCAGCGCUUCUGUGUUACAAUCAGUAAUUCUACCACUAACCUUUCAUUCUGGGGGUAUAAAUAAUACAUCGCCAGGCCAACAAUAGAUAGAACAUGAAAGGAAUAUCUCUGAGCUCUGGAGUGAUGCCUUUUUAUUCAUCAUGAAAUGUUAAUUAUUGCCAGCCUUUAGUAGCUGUAAUUGGGGGGGGUGGGGAGGAGAAGGUGGAACAAAAAGACAUCUAUUUGUAUCUCGUGUCAUAUCAAAGCGCUUGGAUUCAGAAAAAAAAAAUACGCUUACUUAACUGCUAUAAUUCUUUUUUUGAUUAAAUCACUGAUCAGUU